rnacentral:rRNA from 1 species
UACGGGGGGAGCAAGCGUUGUUCGGAUUUACUGGGCGUAAAGGCGCGUAGGCGGCGCGACAAGUCACUUGUGAAAUCUCUGAGCUUAACUCAGAACGGCCAAGUGAAACUGUUGUGCUAGAGUGCAGAAGGGCAAUCGGAAUUCUUGGUGUAGCGGUGAAAUGCGUAGAUAUCAAGAGGAACACCUGAGGUGAAGACGGGUUGCUGGGCUGACACUGACGCUGAAGCGCGAAAGCCAGGGGAGCAAACGGG